AGAGUUUGAUCCUGGCUCAGAACGAACGCUGGCGGCAGGCUUAACACAUGCAAGUCGAACGCAUCCUUCGGGGUGAGUGGCAGACGGGUGAGUAACGCGUGGGAACGUGCCCUUCAGUUCGGAAUAACCCAGGGAAACUUGGGCUAAUACCGGAUACGUGCGAGAGCAGAAAGAUUUAUCGCUGAAGGAUCGGCCCGCGUCUGAUUAGCUAGUUGGUGGGGUAAUGGCCCACCAAGGCGACGAUCAGUAGCUGGUCUGAGAGGAUGAUCAGCCACAUUGGGACUGAGACACGGCCCAAACUCCUACGGGAGGCAGCAGUGGGGAAUAUUGGACAAUGGGCGCAAGCCUGAUCCAGCCAUGCCGCGUGAGUGAUGAAGGCCUUAGGGUUGUAAAGCUCUUUCAGCGGGGACGAUAAUGACGGUACCCGCAGAAGAAGCCCCGGCUAACUUCGUGCCAGCAGCCGCGGUAAUACGAAGGGGGCUAGCGUUGUUCGGAAUCACUGGGCGUAAAGGGCGCGUAGGCGGCCUGAUAAGUCGGGGGUGAAAGCCUGUGGCUCAACCACAGAAUUGCCUUCGAUACUGUCGGGCUUGAGACCGGAAGAGGUAAGUGGAACUGCGAGUGUAGAGGUGAAAUUCGUAGAUAUUCGCAAGAACACCAGUGGCGAAGGCGGCUUACUGGUCCGGUUCUGACGCUGAGGCGCGAAAGCGUGGGGAGCAAACAGGAUUAGAUACCCCCGUAGUCC
rnacentral:rRNA from 2 species